rnacentral:lncRNA from 1 species
UAUUACAACGUUUGAUGUUAGAUCGGACAAGAAACCGAUCUAACAAGUACAUAGGAACCGAUUUAAUAGAUUAAUUAAACCUUGUUAGAUCGAUUCCUAUGUGCUUUUUAAACCAUUUAGGAAAUACUCAAAACCAAAGUGAUCAAGACUUCCUGUUACAAACUCCAAAUCCAACAUUGAAGAAGGAAUUACUCCAGGAGGUCUCUGGAACCUACAAGCAACAAUGGUACAAGAUCAAAUUAAGAUCACUCUCUCCCUUUAUAAUAAAAAUAUUUUAACCAAAUUUUUUCUACAACAAAAAAUAACACCAGAUCUCCACCAAGAGUUAAAUCUCUGCACACCCAAUCACAUAAGGCAGCCAACCAACACGACAAUGUUAGUUAAUCACAUCCUUACAUCAAUAGUUGUUCUAGCAUUCACACACCAACACACUUUUAGUGUACACUCUUAUGUCAUUGUCUUAUGUCCCUAACCUAUUAUAUGAACUGUGGCAAAACUUCCUACUAUACAAAUUUAAACACUCACUACCUACUAAUAAAAAUAAGGUUUCAUCAUGUCACGUUAUCACUGAAAUUAAGAGUUAUCUAACUUUGAGAUCAUUCAAUGAAUUUAGACUCUAUAAUAAAUAAUUAAAAUUCCAAAUAGUUGCACGUACAACUUAGAUCACCAUACAUAUAUAUUAAAAUGUUUUGCACAAAAUAUUUCUUCCACCCAUUUAAAUAAUUUGCACGAAUACAUUAUAAUAGUAGAUAUAUUUUACAGUUUCAAACAUAAGAGUACGAACACAUUAAGCAACAACCAACACAAAUCACAAACUCAAAUUGACAAAUGUGUUUAAAAAAUUAUAGCAUUAAACUUAUUAUUAAUAGAGACAAUAUCACAAACACAUAGUAUGCAGUUUUAAAGGAUGAAUGAAAAUUGGGGUAACUACUACUACUCAAACUUCUCCAUCACUUUCAUAGUUUUUUAGGCAUCAUCACUUCUCAAAUUUUACCAUCACUUAUGUAGAAAUUUCUCCUUCAAAUUUCUCUAUCAAUUAAAGAUUAAUAAUAAGAAUAAUUAACAAUGAAAUAAUUUUAGAUUGUUGAGUAACAAACAAUAAUUAUUAGAAAAUUACUGGAGAAAGCAAAAAAAAAAACUUCUCGAUAGUGAAAGAAAUUGACACUUCUCGACGGAAAUGCUCCUUGAUAGAUGGAAGAGGAAGACAAAGAAAGCUUGUCGUCGGUGCUGAAAUAGAAAAAUGUUGCGCCGGACCAACUCGUCGCCGGCGAUGAAGGCUAAAAACUGCGUUCGAUUCACGAUUCAUGUUUUCACUUAAGGAUGAAGGUUAAAUGUGGAAGGAUGAAAACGUUUUCUUGGGUAAGAUGUGCAUGUUUAAUUUGUGGCUGGGUUUGAUGAGGAACGAAGAUUGAAGGAUGAAAAAUGGGUUUGGAUUCACGGGUGACUAAUUUGUGGGUUUGCAUGAAGAACGAAGGAUGAAGAUAAAAAAUGAGAGGGUUGGCGCAUGAUUU